rnacentral:rRNA from 1 species
AACGUAGGAGACAAACGUUAUCCGGAGUUACUGGGCGUAAAGGGCGUGUAGGUGGUUUAGUAAGUCUGGCGUGAAAUUUUUCGGCUUAACCGGGAAAGGUCGUCGGAUACUGCUGAGCUAGAGGACGGUAGAGGCGUGUGGAAUUCCGGGUGUAGUGGUGAAAUGAGUAGAGAUCCGGAGGAACACCAGUGGCGAAGGCGACACGCUGGGCCGUACCUGACACUGAUGCGCGACAGCAUGGGGAGCAAACAGG